rnacentral:rRNA from 1 species
AACGAACGCUGGCGGCGUGCCUAACACAUGCAAGUCGAGCGAGAAAGCCCGCAAGGGUGAGUAAAGCGGCGCACGGGUGCGUAACACGUGAGUAAUCUGCCCUGAAGUCCGGAAUAACUCGCCGAAAGGCGUGCUAAUGCCGGAUGAGACCACGGGAGCCUCGGCUCCUGCGGGAAAAGGUGGCCUCUGUACACAAGCUAUCGCUUCAGGAUGAGCUCGCGGCCCAUCAGCUCGUUGGCGGGGUAAUGGCCCACCAAGGCUACGACGGGUAGCUGGUCUGAGAGGACGAUCAGCCACACUGGAACUGAGACACGGUCCAGACUCCUACGGGAGGCAGCAGUGGGGAAUCUUGCGCAAUGGGCGAAAGCCUGACGCAGCAACGCCGCGUGUGUGAUGAAGGUCUUCGGAUCGUAAAGCACUGUCGCGAGGGACGAAUAAGGGGCGGGCUAACAUCCCGUUCCGAUGACGGUACCUCGAGAGGAAGCACCGGCUAACUCUGUGCCAGCAGCCGCGGUAAUACAGAGGGUGCAAGCGUUGUUCGGAAUUAUUGGGCGUAAAGCGCGUGUAGGCGGCUUUGUAAGUUGGGUGUGAAAGCCCUCGGCUUAACCGAGGAAGUGCGCCCAAAACUGCAUGGCUUGAGUACCGGAGAGGGUGGCGGAAUUCCCGGUGUAGAGGUGAAAUUCGUAGAUAUCGGGAGGAACACCAGCGGCGAAGGCGGCCACCUGGACGGAUACUGACGCUGAGACGCGAAAGCGUGGGGAGCAAACAGGAUUAGAUACCCUGGUAGUCCACGCCGUAAACGAUGAGCGCUAGGUGUUGUGGGUGUUGACCCCCGCAGUGCCGCAGCUAACGCAUUAAGCGCUCCGCCUGGGAAGUACGGCCGCAAGGCUA